AUUGAACGCUGGCGGCAGGCUAACACAUGCAAGUCGAGCGGUAACAUUUCUAGCUUGCUAGAAGAUGACGAGCGGCGGACGGGUGAGUAAUGCUUGGGAACAUGCCUUGAGGUGGGGGACAACCGUUGGAAACGACGGCUAAUACCGCAUAAUCUCUACGGAGUAAAGGGGGCUUUUAGCUCUCGCCUUUAGAUUGGCCCAAGUGGGAUUAGCUAGUUGGUGAGGUAAUGGCUCACCAAGGCGACGAUCCCUAGCUGGUUUGAGAGGAUGAUCAGCCACACUGGAACUGAGACACGGUCCAGACUCCUACGGGAGGCAGCAGUGGGGAAUAUUGCACAAUGGGCGCAAGCCUGAUGCAGCCAUGCCGCGUGUGUGAAGAAGGCCUUCGGGUUGUAAAGCACUUUCAGUCAGGAGGAAAGGUUAGUAGUUAAUACCUGCUAGCUGUGACGUUACUGACAGAAGAAGCACCGGCUAACUCCGUGCCAGCAGCCGCGGUAAUACGGAGGGUGCGAGCGUUAAUCGGAAUUACUGGGCGUAAAGCGUACGCAGGCGGUUUGUUAAGCGAGAUGUGAAAGCCCCGGGCUCAACCUGGGAACAGCAUUUCGAACUGGCAAGCUAGAGUGUGAUAGAGGGUGGUAGAAUUUCAGGUGUAGCGGUGAAAUGCGUAGAGAUCUGAAGGAAUACCGAUGGCGAAGGCAGCCACCUGGGUCAACACUGACGCUCAUGUACGAAAGCGUGGGGAGCAAACAGG
rnacentral:rRNA from 1 species